rnacentral:rRNA from 1 species
UACGUAGGGUGCAGGCGUUAAUCGGAAUUACUGGGCGUAAAGCGUGCGCAGGCGGCUUGCUAAGAGAGAUGUGAAAUCCCCGGGCUUAACCUGGGAACUGCGUUUCUAACUGGCAGGCUUGAGUGUGGCAGAGGGGGGUGGAAUUCCACGUGUAGCAGUGAAAUGCGUAGAGAUGUGGAGGAACACCGAUGGCGAAGGCAGCCCCCUGGGCUAACACUGACGCUCAUGCGCGAAAGCGUGGGGAGCAAACAGG